CGGAAUCUGCCGUCCCCGAGCCUCCCUGGGCUCGCUUUGCACCUCUACAGCCGCGAUGUGAGCUCCUACCCCAAAUCCCCCUCUCCCCUUUGUUGAUACGUGCCUGUAGUCUCCGUUCUCGCGAGCUCCGUUGCCAUGGCCGCGCCGGAGUUCUUCAUCCACAUGCGCACGCCCGCUCCGGCCCACACGCUGCCUUGCCAUGGCCGUGCCCCGGCCCCUGCUCCGGCCGGUUCCGCGGGCCACGGCUGCUCGCACCGGCCGCCGCUGGCGUCUGCUGCUGCUGCCGAUAACCCGUGCCCACUGCUGCUGCGCGCUCAGCCUGCUCGCCCCUCCGUGUGCGCGCUUGCGCAGGCCCGCGCACCCCCGCUGGCUGCUGCGCUGCUCUGCCUGCUGCUCCCGUGCGCUACUGCUGUCGCCCGCUGCCUGGUGUCUCUGCUUGCUGCGCUGCGCUGCUGCUACUCUUCCAUUGCUGCUGCUAGCUGCUCUUGAGCCGUUGCUCCUCUUGCUUGCUACUACUGCUAAUGGUCAUGGCCGCCAUGAUUUUGCGCUCAUGCGGCCAUGCGUGUUGGCCAUGGCAACACACCCGUGGCUGGAUGUGUGUUCGGCCCUCUGUAAAUUAGCUUAGGAGCUAAUUAGUAGUUAGGUUAAUUAGUUGCUACAUAUGACAUGUGUCCUCCACCUCUAAUUAUCCAAUUAAAAGAAAAUGUAAAGUCUGUGUCUUUGACAGUUGGGCCCCACAUUGACCCUGUUGACCAGUCAACCAUGACUGGUCAACUGUUGACUGACCCCCUGGUCCCACAUGUAAUAGACUCGGACUAGAGGAGUACUAGGUGACAAAAGUAAUUCUGCUUUGUAAAAUUCGAAUUAGUAAUAUUGAGAAAUGUUUAAAUCUUUGAUAAUUCAUAGAAAAAUAACCGUAGCUCGGAUGAAAAUAUUUUAUAUAUGAAAGUUGCUCAGAAAAACAUGGCGAAUCCGAAUACGUAAUAUGUUCAUCUGUCACAUGCCCCUAGCAUUCUAAACAUGGAACCGUCCCCCUCUUGUCAUAUGCCUGAAAAAUGCCAAACGCUGGGAAAACAUUCUCGGAUGUUUUCCCUCUUCGUUUGUAUCACCGAGCACUGCGUUAGUUCGCCCCUAACACCGCGUAUUACCAUGUUAUGCUUUAUGAUGCUUUGUUUGCUUUCUAUUUAUUGUUUCUUCCCCCUCUUCACUCCGGUAGACUCUGAGACCGAUGCUGCCCCUGUGAACGACUACGUCUCCAACGACCCUUCUUCCUUUGCAGUAGAGCUUCCAGGCAAGCCCCCACCCCUUGAUCACUCCGAUAUCGCCCAUUCCAUUCUCUCUCAUGCUUGCAUUAGAUUUUGCUACUGUUAUUGUUUGCUCCUAUUCUGAUGCAUAUCCUGUUUUUGCUACCUGCUUUCAUACCUUACCCACUACUCUAAACUGCUUAGUAUAUUCUGGUUAGAGAUCCAUCAGUGACCACUACCUUGCCCCAGUUGCCCUGCUUUAUGUUUGAUGACUCGGUCAACGUGAUCGAUGUCCAGGCCCCGACACCGCACAUCACCCCCCUAGUUGUACGACUCUGCAGAGUUACUAUCGAGUGUCGAGGGUGAUACCUCAUCAGCACUUCUGAUGUUAACCAUGUAGUGUAGCUAUUCGGUCGUCGUCAUCGAGGGUGAUUCCUCCUUGACCACUCCCGAUAAUGACUCUGUCAUGCAACCCCUCAAGUGUGGACCAACGAGGGUGAUUCCUCCAAGUCCACCUUGAUGGUUACAUCGAGUGGGAAUCCACCGAGGGUGAUUCCUCAUGUUUCCCAAUUGUUGUUUCAGACACACGGUUACUUUGACUUACCACAGAGCCAUGAUGACACCGGGUCGGCCCCGAGGGGUACCCGCGAGUGAUGUGAAGUCGGGUUGAUCUGGAGGAUACCUGCAAGUUUUCCACGCGGUGUGGCCGGGCAUUCUUAGCCCUUGCCGCAAGUCCGUGAGACGGGCGAUGGGGUCACAUGAUCGUGUCUCUGCUCGUUACCGCGUACUACCAAGACACUAACGGUUUGGAUAUUUGAUCCGAGUAGGCCUAUGGACUUUUCGCACUAACCAUCAUGCGUGAAUAAGUAUGGGCACUCUCCGUCAUAUGUAUCAGCCAAAAGCUCAACGGACGUCAGCGAUGGAGCGGCGCGCGCCGGGUUGGACUGCGUAAGCACCUGCCUUUUUAAGGAGGUAGCCAGGUCUGCUCACCGGCCGCGUUCGCAACGUGCAGGAGUGCAAAGGGCGACAGGCCCAAGACCCUUGUGCGCUUAGGAUGUAGACCGGCGUGCUGGCCUCUCUGGUGAGUGUAGGUAGGGCUGCGGCGUGUUGAUCGGCCGAGGCCGGUCAUGACCUGAUGGUGUGUCCGUCCGGAGUUGAUCGAGCUUGUUGGGUAAGUUGGUGCACCCCUGCAGGGAACUAUUCUAUCUAUUCGAAUAGCCGUCUCCACGGUAACGGAAGCUCAGAGUUGUAUCCCGAUCGAUACAACUAGAACUAGAUGCUGAAGCAUGAUAUGGAUAUGUGGCUCCGGGAUUGCUUUCUCGCAGGGAGUUGAGAAAGGAUCUCUGGGCGCUAAUGUUACAACAUGUUUGCUAAAAAUAAACGGCUAUUCUAUACUCUUCUGAAUGCUGCAAGAUGCUUGGAGCUGCUUGAAGAUGCUAGUCUUCUAUAGGCUAGGCUUUCCCCUUCUCUCUGGCAUUCUGAAGUUCAGUCCACAUAUACUACCCAUUUCAUUGACACCGAUGCAUGUGUAGUGUAGAUCCUUGCUUGCGAGUACUUUGGAUGAGUACUCGCGGUUGCUUUGCUCCCCUUUUUCCACCUCUUUCCAUUCUUCCCGGAUGCUGCAACCAGAUGGUGGAGCCCAGGAGCUAGACGACACCACCGACGACUACUACUACGUGGAGGCCGCCGACGACCAGGAGUAGUUAGGAGGCUCCCAGGCAGGAGGCCUUGCCUUUUUCAUCGAUGUUGCUUUUGUGGUAGCCUUCUUAAGGCAGACUUGUCCAACUUAUGUCUGUACUCUUAUAUUGUUGCUUCCGCUGACUCUUGUGUAUUCGAGCUUAUGUAUUCGAGCCCUCCAGGCCACUGGCUUGUAAUAUAAAGUUUGUAUUAUUUUAAUUUGUGUCUAGAGUUGUUGAUGCGGAGCAUCCUUCCCUCAUCCCCAUGGACUCUACACCAACACAUCAAGCCCCACGUGGACCUAUGACAAGAGCUAGAGCACGUGCAUUGGAAACCGAGGUGAAUUCCUUCCUACUUGACUUGCAUAUGAAUACGAAUGGAACCUGGUUGCUUCCUCACCAAAAUAUGCUAUGCCUCAUU
rnacentral:lncRNA from 1 species